rnacentral:rRNA from 1 species
UACGAAGGGGGCUAGCGUUGCUCGGAAUCACUGGGCGUAAAGCGCACGUAGGCGGCUUUUUAAGUCAGAGGUGAAAUCCUGGAGCUCAACUCCAGAACUGCCUUUGAUACUGGAGAGCUUGAGUCCGGGAGAGGUGAGUGGAACUGCGAGUGUAGAGGUGAAAUUCGUAGAUAUUCGCAAGAACACCAGUGGCGAAGGCGGCUCACUGGCCCGGUACUGACGCUGAGGUGCGAAAGCG